rnacentral:rRNA from 1 species
AACUAUAACGGUCCUAAGGUAGCGAAAUUCCUUGUCAGGUAAGUUCUGACCCGCACGAAUGGCGUAAUGAUUUGGGCACUGUCUCAACAGCCCGCCCGGCGAAAUUGUAGUACUGGUGAAGAUGCCAGUUACCCGCAACUAGACGGAAAGACCCCAUGGAGCUUUACUGCAGCUUAAUACUGAAAUUCGGUAGUACAUGUACAGGAUAGGUGGGAGACUGAGAAAUACAGGCGUCAGCUUGUAUGGAGUCGCUGUUGGGAUACCACUCUUGUACUGCUGGGUUUCUAACCUGCGGCCGUGAAUCCGGUCGGGGGACACUGUUAGGCGGGCAGUUUGACUGGGGCGGUCGCCUCCCAAAAGGUAACGGAGGCGCUCAAAGGUUCGUUCAGCACGGACGGAAAUCGUGCAAUGAGUGUAAACGCAUAAACGAGCCUAACUGCGACACCGACGGGUCGAGCAGUAACGAAAGUUGGAGUUAGUGAUCCGGUGGUAUGUGAGUGGAAAUGCCAUCGCUCAACGGAUAAAAGCUACCCUGGGGAUAACAGGCUGAUCUCCCCCAAGAGUCCACAUCGACGGGGAGGUUUGGCACCUCGAUGUCGGCUCAUCGCAUCCUGGGGCUGAAUUCGGUCCCAAGGGUUUGGCUGUUCGCCAAUUAAAGCGGCACGCGAGCUGGGUUCAGAACGUCGUGAGACAGUUCGGUCCCUAUCUGUUGCGGGCGUAAGAGAUUUGAAGGGAGCUGUCCUUAGUACGAGAGGACCGGGAUGGACGUACCUCUGGUGCACCAGUUGUCCUGCCAAGGGCAUAGCUGGGUAGCUAUGUACGGACGAGAUAAACGCUGAAAGCAUCUAAGCGUGAAACUCCCCCUAAGAUGAGAUCUCUCAUCCUUCAAGGAGUAAGGACCCAGAAAGACGAUCUGGUUGAUAGGCCGAAGGUGGAAGCGCAGUAAUGUGUGCAGCUGAUCGGUACUAAUAGUCCGAGGGCUUGACCUA